CUACAAAAAACAUAAGUUUACUUGUGUUUUAACAAGUACAAAAUCCAAAUAAACUUCAAAAAAAAUACAGAAUUUAAUCUGAGACCUUGGAAAAGGCUUCCAAACUUUGGUGCUAGAAGCAAGAAUGUGGAUUUACAGUUUAAAGUAGAAACACAUUAAGCUAAGUAAAGUUUUGAGUUUUAGAGUUUAAUAUAUAGAAAAAAAUAACACUAUUUACAAAGUUUACAAGAAGUUUUAGAGUGUAGUACUCUAAAUUUGUGUGUCAUAACAUGAUUGGCUAAGAAAGCUUAACACUGUAGCAUGAGUCCAUAAGAUGAAAUAUUUAAGGAUCGGGUCAAAAACAUAAAUACCCUUUUUGGCAGUGUUUUAUUAGUUAAUAAAGCCUUAAAAAGUCCUGUAACUAAAGGUCUUGUGACCUUCUGAGCCAUGGGGUGAAGAUGUGAGCCUUCCCUUCCUCACCCUUCCUGCUUAUAUAAAAGAUUUUUACAUUCUGAGCAGCAUCUACAGUGGGAGGAAGGAAACUGUAGAGAACAGCAAUGACUGGACCAUCCCAGACAGCUCAGGGAAGGAGGGGGAAAAUAUCCCUGAGCAGAGCAGCGAGGUGACAGCGCUGACAACAGCAGCUCCAGCACACCGAGAGCCUGGGCUUAUCUCCCAACUGCUUCCUCCCAGCUUAUCAGAGGCUGCACAACCUCCCUCCACUGCCAAACAAGAGCCCUGCCAACAGAAAAUAUGAGACUGUGGGUAAGAAAGGGCCCGGAGCUGGCUGGAAUAGCCAGCUCUGUGCAGAACCCACCCUUGUUCCCAUGAGCUG